rnacentral:rRNA from 1 species
AUCAACUUUCGAUGGUAGGAUAGAGGCCUACCAUGGUGGUAACGGGUAACGGGGUGUUAGGGCACGACACCGGAGAGGGAGCCUGAGAAACGGCUACCACAUCCAAGGAUGGCAGCAGGCGCGCAAAUUACCCAAUCCCGACACGGGGAGGUAGUGACAAUAAAUAACAAUACGGGGUUCUUUCGGAUUUCGUAAUUGGAAUGAGUACAAUUUAAAUCUCUUAACGAGGAACAAUUGGAGGGCAAGUCUGGUGCCAGCAGCCGCGGUAAUUCCAGCUCCAAUAGCGUAUAUUAAAGUUGUUGCAGUUAAAAAGCUCGUAGUUGAAUUUCGGGGUUAGUAGAUUGGUCAUGCCUCUGGUAUGUACUGGUUUUACUGAUUCCUCCUUCCUGAUGAACCGUAAUGCCAUUAAUUUGGUGUUGCGGGGAGACUGGACUGUUACUUUGAAAAAAUUAGAGUGUUUAAAGCAGGCUAACGCUUGAAUACAUUAGCAUGGAAUAAUGAAAUAGGACGUUCGAUCUUAUUUUGUUGGUUUCUAGGAUUGACGUAAUGAUUAAUAGGGAUAGUUGGGGGCAUUAGUAUUCAAUUGUCAGAGGUGAAAUUCUUGGAUUUAUUGAAGACUAACUACUGCGAAAGCAUUUGCCAAGGAUGUUUUCAUUAAUCAAGAACGAAAGUUAGGGGAUCGAAGACGAUCAGAUACCGUCGUAGUCUUAACCAUAAACUAUGCCGACUAGGGAUCGGAUGAUGUUAAUUUUUUAAUGACUCAUUCGGCGCCUUACGGGAAACCAAAGUGUUUGGGUUC